AUUGAACGCUGGCGGCAUGCCUUACACAUGCAAGUCGAACGGCAGCACGGGUGCUUGCACCUGGUGGCGAGUGGCGAACGGGUGAGUAAUAUAUCGGAACGUACCUUAUUGUGGGGGAUAACGCAGCGAAAGCUGUGCUAAUACCGCAUAAUCCCUAAGGGGGAAAGCGGGGGACCGUAAGGCCUCGCGCAAUUAGAGCGGCCGAUACCUGAUUAGCUAGUUGGUGAGGUAAAGGCUCACCAAGGCAACGAUCAGUAGCUGGUCAGAGAGGAAGAUCCGCCACACGGGGACUUAGACACGGACCAGACUCCUACGGGGGGCAGCAGUGGGGAAUUUUGGACAAUGGGGGCAACCCUGAUCCAGCAAUGCCGCGUGAGUGAAGAAGGCCUUCGGGUUGUAAAGCUCUUUUGUCAGGGAAGAAACAGCAGCUCUAACACAGUAUGCGAAUGACGGUACCUGAAGAAUAAGCACCGGCUAACUUCGUGCCAGCAGCCGCGGUAA
rnacentral:rRNA from 1 species